CCAAUUCUCCUAGAAAAACACAUUCAUAUACGAAACUUUAUCUCAUCUUAGUUAGCUACACCUUGAGGUCACUUGGUCUGUGCUUCAUAAUCAAAAGUGCCACCAUAUUAGCUUAGCUGACAAUAUUUCAGACAUCAAACAAAGGAAGAGUUGACUCAUGUUUGGAGCUGAGAAAGGGGCCAAGGCUUGGAUUCAUUGGCAAGGACUCUUCAUUUUUGUAGAAUUUUAGAGAAGGCAAAGAUAAGUGACUUGACUAAAAAAUCCCAAAGUCAGGGCCAAUAACAGCUAUUAUCCAGAUUUUUAUUGCAUUCUUUUGAAUGUAGUGAAUGAGGGGAAGAGAUUUUGAAUAAAAGGCCCCUAAGCAAUGGAUACUCCAAAUGGGGCUCCAUUUUAUUUAGCCCAAACUGCAGUGUCUCUUAUGGAUUCUAUCAUAUGUAAACAAGAGAAGUAUGUGCAGUUAGAGUUCUUCCAUCCCUAAAUGGCUCUUAUCCUUCCCUGACCUGUAGCACAUUUUUUCCCUGUGAAGCUCUGUCCUAGAAGUCUUAUAGAAUAGAAUAUGUUUUAUUGGUAAAUUCCUUCUUUGUUUAUUUGUCUGCCUGAUCUGCCUUAGACCCUAGCCUGUUCCAUUGACAGAGAUAUUGUUAAGGAGAGCGUGGCAGGCUACAUGCAGAAUAGCUCAGUGCCGCAGCCUGGACUGAACAGCAGGAAGCACAGAACUUAGACUGGAAGACAGCAGGAUGAGGAGUGGAGAAAUUCAUGGAAGACGCGACAAGAUCCUCGUGGCAAUCAUUCUCUCUUUUCCUAGGAAGGACGCUAUCAAGGAAGUCAACCUGUAGUUUUCCUUUGUUUGACUUAAUCAAAUUCCAGGACAAAUCCUGAUUCCCUGAAGCCCAGAGGCCCUCGAGGAUCCAAGAUGGCGCGCUACAAUGACUUUGCCUUUUGAUGUGGAUCAUGGCCUGCCCUAGAAGUGCCUGAGAUGACUUGUCCUGUGGCCUGGAUGUUCCUGCUACUGGAGCUUUCAUGACUACUUACAUUAGAGAUCCACCUCGACCUG
rnacentral:lncRNA from 1 species